UUUUAAUGUAUUUAUAUUAAGUGUACUAAAAGUAUGCUGGUAAUAAAUAUAUGCAUAAUUACACUUUUAAGAAAUAUGCUAAACACAAAUGUACUUCUAGUGAAGUUUUAGUAUAUUUGGAUAAAACAUACUUUUUUCAAAACAUGAUUCAUUAAUUGUAAUAAGCUAACAUUGAACUUUCCUCAAGCCUUUCAACAUUAUAUAAUUCCGAUUGCACAAUAAGCUAUUUUUUCAAAGAUUUGCUUAAAAUCUUACUUGUUUAAUUUCAAAAUCUUACUUGUUUAAUUUCAAACAACACACGUGACACACGUGACUAAACCUGAUUGGUUGUUGUCAUAGUAACACGUCACGGUGCUAUUUGAAACUUGUUCAGUUUAGUUCAGUUGUUCACGGUGCAUGCGGUUGCUUGCAUUAAACGUAUAUAAACUGUUAAAUUAGAUGGCGACUCUGCAUUAAACGUAUUUAUCUAAUUAAUCGGCGAUCAUAUUUCACCAGAGGACUAAGAUAAAACAACUCGAUUUAAAAUAUGAGCAGUUUUAGUGGAUCUGACGUUGAGGGAAAAAGUAUUCGCUUUUUGUUUGGAGAUGAACGAGACGACACGAGGCACAGCGACAUAAAUAUGACCAACCAGAUCCCAAGUAGACAGGAACAAAUGAAGAUAUAGCGCAUAGAAAGACUUAUUCUUGGUGAUCAACUGCUAUUGACAUUUUUGAAUCGGGGCAAAUGUGGAGUGAAGAAAAACGUUUGCAACACAUCCAUUCCAGAGUGCUCUGACAGAUAAAACUGACACGCUUGAUGAGGACACAGUCAAGCUUUAAAAGCCCGUGUGAUAAAGCAGUCUUCAAUUACUACGGUGUCUGAAUUGCAAGAAGAAGUCACCCUCCACUUAAACAUGUGACAUCUAAACUGUUUUGUGUUUUAGUUCAGCUUUUUAUAGGUUUAUCUUAAGUUGGUUAAAGGCAGAGUGCACUAUUUUUGAAAGCCAAUGUUAACAUUUGAAAUUACCUAAACAAACAUGCCUCUACCCCAAUAGAAUCUGGACCUUCUUUUGAUAGAGCCACCACACACAUACGCAAUCCCGGCAAGGAUGUCAGUUAGUAGACA